UUCGCCCUUAGAGUUUGAUCCUGGCUCAGGAUGAACGCUACCUACAGGCUUAACACAUGCAAGUCGAGGGGCAGCGGGAUUGAAGCUUGCUUCAAUUGCCGGCGACCGGCGCACGGGUGAGUAACGCGUAUCCAACCUUCCGUACACUCAGGGAUAGCCUUUCGAAAGAAAGAUUAAUACCUGAUGGUAUGAUGAGAUUGCAUGAUAGCAUCAUUAAAGAUUUAUCGGUGUACGAUGGGGAUGCGUUCCAUUAGGUAGUAGGCGGGGUAACGGCCCACCUAGCCAACGAUGGAUAGGGGUUCUGAGAGGAAGGUCCCCCACAUUGGAACUGAGACACGGUCCAAACUCCUACGGGAGGCAGCAGUGAGGAAUAUUGGUCAAUGGACGAGAGUCUGAACCAGCCAAGUAGCGUGAAGGAUGAAGGUCCUACGGAUUGUAAACUUCUUUUAUAAGGGAAUAAACCCUCCCACGUGUGGGAGCUUGUAUGUACCUUAUGAAUAAGCAUCGGCUAACUCCGUGCCAGCAGCCGCGGUAAUACGGAGGAUGCGAGCGUUAUCCGGAUUUAUUGGGUUUAAAGGGAGCGCAGACGGGUCGUUAAGUCAGCUGUGAAAGUUUGGGGCUCAACCUUAAAAUUGCAGUUGAUACUGGCGUCCUUGAGUGCGGUUGAGGUGUGCGGAAUUCGUGGUGUAGCGGUGAAAUGCUUAGAUAUCACGAAGAACUCCGAUUGCGAAGGCAGCACACUAAUCCGUAACUGACGUUCAUGCUCGAAAGUGUGGGUAUCAAACAGGAUUAGAUACCCUGGUAGUCCACACGGUAAACGAUGGAUACUCGCUGUUGGCGAUAUACUGUCAGCGGCUUAGCGAAAGCGUUAAGUAUCCCACCUGGGGAGUACGCCGGCAACGGUGAAACUCAAAGGAAUUGACGG
rnacentral:rRNA from 1 species